AAGAGCAGCAAAUAGUUUUUAUGAUGUAUAGUUCACACUAUUUCUAGUCUUAAACUGCAACCUUCAGUGAUUCAAGAAAUACAGGAACAUCUUUUCUUUGGGCAGAAGCCGUAAUCAAAUUGAUGAUUGCAUAAUUUUAAAAACAAAAAAUUAGACUUACUUUGUAAAAAAAUUUAACCCGACUAAUUCUUUGUCUACUUUCUCUUUGGUAUUUCUUGCAUUUUUUUCAAAUAUCUUCAUUACAAAAUCAUAAGUAGUUUCCAUUCAGAGUACUUCAUAACUCAGGUUGGCACACAGAGUAAGGCUGUUUUCAUACUGAAGACCUUCAAAUAAAGAUUACCUAUAAGGAGCAUAUCACUUUGUUAACUGUCAUUCCCAGACAGUCUUAAUGCAUCAGCCCUAAUAUAUAUACAUAUAUGUAGAUAGAUAGAUAGAUAUAGAUAUAGAUAUAUGUAGAUAUAUACAUAUGUACAUGUAUUAUAUAUUUUAUAUUAUACAUAUAUACACAUAUAUGCACAUAUCAACAAGUAAUAUAGAUACAUAAAAUAAGUAUAAUUACUAUUAAAAUGUUUUUCAGAGAGAAAAUUAUUAAUCAAUUUUUAAUUGAUUUAGGCUUCCUACAUUGUUUAUUCAAUAACUGAAUACUGGGGUCCAUCCCUAAUAUCAAAAUCUUAUAUAAAUACAAUGUAUAUGUAUACACACAUAUCCAUACAUAUUUUCUUUUGGAUGGACAUAUCCCAUUUGUUUAUCGGUAUACCAUUUGAUAGACAGAAGCUUAAUUGCUUUACAAGCAAAGGAAAAACCCAGGGGAUUCUUGUCCCAGAGGCUGUGAUUCUGCACAUCAGGGGCAACAGAGGGUUUUUAAAGAUGUGAUUUCAGGUGUGUCCAGUCCUACUUCACUUGUUAAUCUGGGAUAUAAUCAAUUUUAAAUCUUCUGGUGCCAUCCCCAACUCUGAAUUUCUUCACUCCUGUGGUGGGUGUGUGCUCAAGGACAGAUAACUGAAUGGGGACAAAAAGUAAUCCUGUUUCCCCCCAGGUUAGGGACAGGGAAAGGGGGAUUUAAAAAAAAAAAAAAACAUCAAUCUUAAAAUAAGCCUCAGUGGCAGAGCAUCAUGCUGGGGUUUUUCAGGUUAAUUUUUUCAAUUUAAUUUAUACUUAACUGAACAUUAGUUGUUCAUGGUGGGUG
rnacentral:lncRNA from 1 species